UAGGGGUGACUGGAAUUCCUGGUGUAGCGGUGGAAUGCGCAGAUAUCAGGAGGAACACCGAUGGCGAAGGCAGGUCACUGGGCCACUACUGACGCUGAGGAGCGAAAGCAUGGGGAGCGAACAGGAUUAGAUACCCUGGUAGUCCAUGCCGUAAACGUUGGGCACUAGGUGUGGGGCUCAUUCCACGAGUUCCGCGCCGCAGCUAACGCAUUAAGUGCCCCGCCUGGGGAGUACGGCCGCAAGGCUAAAACUCAAAGGAAUUGACGGGGGCCCGCACAAGCGGCGGAGCAUGCGGAUUAAUUCGAUGCAACGCGAAGAACCUUACCAAGGCUUGACAUACACCGGAAUCAUGCAGAGAUGUGUGCGUCUUCGGACUGGUGUACAGGUGGUGCAUGGUUGUCGUCAGCUCGUGUCGUGAGAUGUUGGGUUAAGUCCCGCAACGAGCGCAACCCUCGUCCUAUGUUGCCAGCACGUUAUGGUGGGGACUCAUAGGAGACUGCCGGGGUCAACUCGGAGGAAGGUGGGGAUGACGUCAAAUCAUCAUGCCCCUUAUGUCUUGGGCUUCACGCAUGCUACAAUGGCCGGUACAAAGGGCUGCGAUACCGCGAGGUGGAGCGAAUCCCAAAAAGCCGGUCUCAGUUCGGAUUGGGGUCUGCAACUCGACCCCAUGAAGUCGGAGUCGCUAGUAAUCGCAGAUCAGCAACGCUGCGGUGAAUACGUUCCCGGGCCUUGUACACACCGCCCGUCAAGUCACGAAAGUCGGUAACACCCGAAGCCGGUGNNCNNUAACCCCNUGUGNG
rnacentral:rRNA from 1 species